ensembl:lncRNA
CAGGGGGCUUGCAUGGCGACAUGGAGAGGAGGUCAUGAUGAAGAGAUGCAGAGAGAAAAGGCGAGAGAGCAAAAAAGGAGCAGGACGGGGAGAACUGAGAGGAGCAUCUGAGACGAUAACUGCCUGUUUGCUCACUCUUGCCUUCUUACUCCCCCUCCUGUCCUUUCACUUCCACACACAGAACAAACGCUCAGACAACUAGGUAGGCACAGCGGAGCUGAAAGCUGUGAGGGAUGGAUAAAAGGGUUCCCACGUGAAAGGCAUGAAUCUACGAGAAAAGAGGAGGGUGAAAUAGAGGAAGACACAACCAGAGAGGAGGAGGAGGAGAGAGAGAGAGAGAGAGAAAGAGGUGAGCUGGAGAGGAAAGGGAGACAAGAGAGGAGCAGAUGGACUCUGCACAGAGGAAGGGGAACGGUGCGAAGCUCACUGAGAAGCAGUGACAGAGAGGUGGGAAUUAAAAAAAAAAAAAGCAAACAUGAAUGCCAGAGGGAUGGAAGAAUGGGAGGAAGCGACGUGAAGGAAUAGCUUGGGAAGAGGGAGCGAGCACUUGUGGGAAGACAACACAGAAGGAAAACAGGAAGAGAGAGAGAGAGAUGAGGUAUGUGUGACUCAGUUCUGUGUCCUGAUGGAAGAUAGUACAGCAAUCUCAUCAGCAGCCUUCUUGCAGCAUCACCAUAGAGAUGGAGAGUUAGGCAAAUCAGAGAAGAGAAUAUGCCUAUCUGCGGGCCAGGUGUUUCCACUGGACUGACAGCAUGCUGGCUUCAUAGGUAACACACUAUGAUGUACUCUUGGGACAUUAGUUUGGACAGCAACGUCGCAGCCUGGCAGAGAGUAACCCCCCCAGGGGAGUGGACUGUGCUGCAUACGUGUAACAUGCUGCUGUGCACUGGACAUGUCCGUCUGACCACGAGUUACGAGGUGUUGCUGAAUUCACACAGAGACCUUGGGAACCUUGGAAAUCUGUGGCACAGAGUGGCGAGGAGACGUGAACAGUAGAAGAAACAAACUGAAGCAGCCAGCGAAGCAAGACAAUUGGGCUUGCAGAAUGAGCACAAGGAAGAACAAUGUUUACUCUGGCUUUCUUUCACAGACACCCAAACAUUCUCAAAUUUGCUCACAGUUGGCUAAGUAUGCUUAUCACCAUCCACUGGCCUACAUAUAGGGAU